ensembl:snRNA U6 U6 spliceosomal RNA
GUGUUUGCUUCAGCAGCACAGAUACUAAAAUUGGAACAAUGCAGAGAAAUUAGCAUGCCCCUGCGCAUGGAUAACACACAAAUUCAUGAAGCGUUCCAUAUUUUU